rnacentral:sRNA from 1 species
AUGUGCCACGCGUGCAUGCCGGUUGCUGCGCGUCGGCCUCACUCAUCCGGUGACUGCUCGCUACGUUCCUGUCAGCA